UNNNNCNGCUACACAUGCAGUCGAGCGGAACGAGUUAUCUGAACCUUCGGGGAACGAUAACGGCGUCGAGCGGCGGACGGGUGAGUAAUGCCUAGGAAAUUGCCCUGAUGUGGGGGAUAACCAUUGGAAACGAUGGCUAAUACCGCAUGAUGCCUACGGGCCAAAGAGGGGGACCUUCGGGCCUCUCGCGUCAGGAUAUGCCUAGGUGGGAUUAGCUAGUUGGUGAGGUAAGGGCUCACCAAGGCGACGAUCCCUAGCUGGUCUGAGAGGAUGAUCAGCCACACUGGAACUGAGACACGGUCCAGACUCCUACGGGAGGCAGCAGUGGGGAAUAUUGCACAAUGGGCGCAAGCCUGAUGCAGCCAUGCCGCGUGUAUGAAGAAGGCCUUCGGGUUGUAAAGUACUUUCAGUCGUGAGGAAGGUGGCGUCGUUAAUAGCUGCGUUGUUUGACGUUAGCGACAGAAGAAGCACCGGCUAACUCCGUGCCAGCAGCCGCGGUAAUACGGAGGGUGCGAGCGUUAAUCGGAAUUACUGGGCGUAAAGCGCAUGCAGGUGGUUUGUUAAGUCAGAUGUGAAAGCCCGGGGCUCAACCUCGGAAUAGCAUUUGAAACUGGCAGACUAGAGUACUGUAGAGGGGGGUAGAAUUUCAGGUGUAGCGGUGAAAUGCGUAGAGAUCUGAAGGAAUACCGGUGGCGAAGGCGGCCCCCUGGACAGAUACUGACACUCAGAUGCGAAAGCGUGGGGAGCAAACAGGAUUAGAUACCCUGGUAGUCCACGCCGUAAACGAUGUCUACUUGGAGGUUGUGGCCUUGAGCCGUGGCUUUCGGAGCUAACGCGUUAAGUAGACCGCCUGGGGAGUACGGUCGCAGAUUAAACUCAAUGAAUUGACGGGGCCCGCACAGCGGUGAGCAUGUGGUUUNNCGAUGCACGCGAGAUCUUACUACUCU
rnacentral:rRNA from 1 species